rnacentral:rRNA from 1 species
AACGAACGCUGGCGGCAUGCCUAACACAUGCAAGUCGAACGAGACCUUCGGGUCUAGUGGCGCACGGGUGCGUAACGCGUGGGAACCUGCCCUUAGGUUCGGAAUAACUCCCCGAAAGGGGUGCUAAUACCGGAUAAUGUCUUCGGACCAAGGAUUUAUCGCCUUUGGAUGGGCCCGCGUUGGAUUAGCUAGUUGGUAGGGUAAAAGCCUACCAAGGCGACGAUCCAUAGCUGGUCUGAGAGGAUGAUCAGCCACACUGGGACUGAGACACGGCCCAGACUCCUACGGGAGGCAGCAGUGGGGAAUAUUGGACAAUGGGCGAAAGCCUGAUCCAGCAAUGCCGCGUGAGUGAUGAAGGCCUUAGGGUUGUAAAGCUCUUUUAACCGGGAUGAUAAUGACAGUACCGGGAGAAUAAGCUCCGGCUAACUCCGUG